rnacentral:ncRNA from 1 species
UGACCUCAAAUCAGGUAGGAUUACCCGCUGAACUUAAGCAUAUCAAUAAGCGGAGGAAAAGAAACCAACUGGGAUUACCUUAGUAACGGCGAGUGAAGCGGUAAAAGCUCAAAUUUGAAAUCUGGUACUUUCAGUGCCCGAGUUGUAAUUUGUAGAAUUUGUCUUUGAUUAGGUCCUUGUCUAUGUUCCUUGGAACAGGACGUCAUAGAGGGUGAGAAUCCCGUUUGGCGAGGAUACCUUUUCUCUGUAAGACUUUUUCGAAGAGUCGAGUUGUUUGGGAAUGCAGCUCAAAGUGGGUGGUAAAUUCCAUCUAAAGCUAAAUAUUGGCGAGAGACCGAUAGCGAACAAGUACAGUGAUGGAAAGAUGAAAAGAACUUUGAAAAGAGAGUGAAAAAGUACGUGAAAUUGUUGAAAGGGAAGGGCAUUUGAUCAGACAUGGUGUUUUUUGCAUGCACUCGCCUCUCGUGGGCUUGGGCCUCUCAAAAAUUUCACUGGGCCAACAUCAAUUCUGGCAGCAGGAUAAAUCAUUAAGAAUGUAGCUACUUCGGUAGUGUUAUAGCUUUUUGG